rnacentral:rRNA from 1 species
CCUACGGGAGGCAGCAGUGGGGAAUAUUGCACAAUGGGGGAAACCCUGAUGCAGCAACGCCGCGUGAGUGAUGACGGCCGGCGGGUGGGAAAGCUCUGUCUGCAGGGACGAGAAUGACGGUACCUGAGGAGGAAGCCACGGCUAACUACGGUCCAGCAGCCGCGGUAAUACGUAGGGGGCGAGCGUUGUCCGGAUUUACUGGGCGUAAAGGGAGCGUAGGCGGACUUUUAAGUGAGAUGUGAAAUACUCGGGCUCAACUUGAGUACUGCAUUUCAAACUGGGAGUCUAGAGUGCAGGAGAGGAGAGUGGAAUUCCUGGUGUAGCGGUGAAAUGCGUAGAGAUUAGGAAGACCACCAGUGGCGAAGGCGCUUCUCUGGACUGUACCUGACGCUGAGGCUCGAAAGCGUGGGGAGCAAACAGGAUUAGCUACCCGAGUAGUC